rnacentral:lncRNA from 1 species
ACUGUGAAAAAAACAACAACUUAAUUUUAAAGAAACACUGUUUUUUUUGCUUUCAAAUCUCCAUAAAAAUCCCUGAUGUUAUUUUAAAAAUUGUUUUAUUUAUUUUAUGUUAUCAUUUGAAAUAAUAUAAAUCAUUACAGAUGGUAUACACUUUAUAAAUUUAAAACACGUUAUAAAUAAAAUAUAUAUGUAAAAAAACGACAUAAAAAUCUAAUUACUAAUAAAAAUAUCUAAAUAUCGAUAAAAACAUCAGUGAUGGCUAUGAUUAAAAAAAAAACAAUGUGAGAACAAUGUCCAUAUCUCAGUCUCUUGUCUGUCGUAUAUUGAUCAGAGAAGGACGGUGUGCAGUUUGUAGAGCCGCAGAAGCGAGAGUGUCACAUCACGUUCAGCAGGCAGGCAUCUCAGCAGAGCAGCAGUGACGCGGCCCGCCCUCGCUGUCCCAUAUACAUCUACAACUGCUCUCUGGACUCCCUCAAAGAGCAGCUGGUCCACCCGCGCUCCGGACGCCAGCCCAGAGACCUCUUCUUCAGACCUCAAGAGACAGACACCUGGGAGUUCAAUCAGCAGCCCAGAUACAGGUCGAUCUCUCAGGAGCGCAGCACCAGCACCUCGUCCUCGACGGAGCACAAGAUUCCACCGGUGCUGGCCAACUACCACAGCCUCCUGCAGGAGCAUUACUACCACAGCUACGUCAAAGGUGUCUAUCGCAGUCUGCAGCAGUCGUAUAACGUGAGCUCUCAGGACGUCCUGACAGCCAUGGACUACUGCGAGGAGUCGCUGCAGGAGAUCGACAUCACGUCCUUCCUGCAGACGCUCUGUGGACAUGUGCGUGUGUUUCGAGAACGCCAUGAGCUGCACGGCAAAUCCAGCAAUGGCCCCACAACCUUCAUCAUUGGGGAGGCAGAGGAAGAUGGAGCCGACAGGGCCACGCUCGUGUCUUCAUCCAGUGUUGAACUGGAGGAUGUGAGUGAAACCGAUUCCAGAGGAAAACUCUCUGUUCCCCCGUCCCCGCUGAACCUGGACGAACCAAAGUCACCCAAAAUCCCAGAAUUCCCUCUGUCUCUUCUCCAGUCCCAGCAGAAGUGUGAAGUCUAUCCUGAUUUGCACAAAAUCGUACAGGUACUGCAGACACACAGUGAUGUGAAACAGCAUUUCUAA